rnacentral:rRNA from 1 species
GAUGAACGCUGGCGGCGUGCCUAAUACAUGCAAGUCGAGCGAACAGACGAGGAGCUUGCUCCUCUGACGUUAGCGGCGGACGGGUGAGUAACACGUGGAUAACCUACCUAUAAGACUGGGAUAACUUCGGGAAACCGGAGCUAAUACCGGAUAACAUGUUGAACCGCAUGGUUCAACAGUGAAAGACGGUCUUGCUGUCACUUAUGGAUGGAUCCGCGCCGCAUUAGCUAGUUGGUAAGGUAACGGCUUACCAAGGCAACGAUGCGUAGCCGACCUGAGAGGGUGAUCGGCCACACUGGAACUGAGACACGGUCCAGACUCCUACGGGAGGCAGCAGUAGGGAAUCUUCCCCAAUGGGCGAAAGCCUGACGGAGCAACGCCGCGUGAGUGAAGAAGGUCUUCGGAUCGUAAAACUCUGUUAUUAGGGAAGAACAAAUGUGUAAGUAACUAUGCACGUCUUGACGGUACCUAAUCAGAAAGCCACGGCUAACUACGUG